rnacentral:rRNA from 1 species
AACUUCUGAAUGUUGACCUCGGAUCAGGUAGGAAUACCCGCUGAACUUAAGCAUAUCAAUAAGCGGAGGAAAAGAAACCAACAGGGAUUGCCCUAGUAACGGCGAGUGAAGCGGCAACAGCUCAAAUUUGAAAUCUGGCUCUCGGGCCCGAGUUGUAAUUUGUAGAGGAUGCUUUUGAUGCGGUGCCUUCCGAGUUCCCUGGAACGGGACGCCAUAGAGGGUGAGAGCCCCGUCUGGUUGGAUGCCAAAUCUCUGUAAAGCUCCUUCGACGAGUCGAGUAGUUUGGGAAUGCUGCUCUAAAUGGGAGGUAUAUGUCUUCUAAAGCUAAAUACCGGCCAGAGACCGAUAGCGCACAAGUAGAGUGAUCGAAAGAUGAAAAGCACUUUGAAAAGAGAGUUAAAAAGUACGUGAAAUUGUUGAAAGGGAAGCGUUUAUGACCAGACUUGGGCUUGGUUAAUCAUCUGGGGUUCUCUCCAGUGCACUUUUCCAGUCCAGGCCAGCAUCAGUUUUCGCCGGGGGAUAAAGGCUUCGGGAAUGUGGCUCUCUCCGGGGAGUGUUAUAGCCCGUUGCGUAAUACCCUGGCGGGG